UCGCAAUAUCUUCAUAAUUUGUUCAGGUUCGGCCAUGGCGCUUAUUCUCGAAGCUCUAAUCCAGAUCCUUCAGAAACCCAGUCUUCUAGAAAUCGCUAUAGAGAUGUUUAUCUUCGCCUCCCCAUUGUGGAUCGCGCUGAUUGCCGGUCUCGUCAUCGGCUGGGCGUGGCGGCCACGCUGGGUCGUCGAGGUGGGAGAGAAGGUCGGAGUGGCGGCCGCGCCACAGCUCAGCCUGCCGAGUUGCAUCACGGCGUUUAUCGGCGCUGAUAAAAUCCUGCCGAGCCGCAUCACUACGUUUAUCGGCGCUGAUAGGCAGGAGACUGCUGCAGCUGAGGCUGCUGCGGAGAUUGAGAGUGAUUCUGCUGCUCCUGUGGAAACCGGGAAGCUGGCUGUGGGGUCGGAGGAUUUGGACUACCUAUGCCGGAUUGUAGAGGAGAGAGAUGGGGGCAAGCCCUGG
rnacentral:misc_RNA from 1 species